UCUCCAUGAUGAGGGCACUUUCAUAAUAACUCUUUGUACCUUUCGCAUGCUUUAUACAGGGACUCAUCAUCCAUUUGUUGAAGGAAGUGAUCUCAUUCCUCAACUU
rnacentral:snoRNA from 1 species